UACGGAGGGUGCAAGCGUUAUCCGGAUUCACUGGGUUUAAAGGGUGCGUAGGUGGGUUGAUAAGUCAGUGGUGAAAUCCCCGAGCUUAACUUGGGAACUGCCAUUGAUACUAUUGAUCUUGAGUUCGGGAGAGGUGAGUGGAACUGCGAGUGUAGAGGUGAAAUUCGUAGAUAUUCGCAAGAACACCAGUGGCGAAGGCGGCUCACUGGCCCGAUACUGACGCUGAGGCACGAAAGCGUGGGGAGCAAACAGG
rnacentral:rRNA from 1 species